UACGAGGGGGCGAGCGUUGUUCGGAAUUAUUGGGCGUAAAGGGCGCGUAGGCGGUGCGGUAAGUCACCUGUGAAACCUCUGGGCUUAACUCAGAGCCUGCAGGCGAAACUGCCGUGCUGGAGUGUGGGAGAGGUGCGUGGAAUUCCCGGUGGUGCGGAUGAAAUGCGUAGAUAUCGGGAGGAACACCUGUGGCGAAAGCGGCGCACUGGACCACAACUGACGCUGAGGCGCGAAAGCUAGGGGAGCAAACAGG
rnacentral:rRNA from 1 species